rnacentral:pre_miRNA from 1 species
AGUUGCUGAACAUGACACGAGACAGUACGUUGGGCAUUCUUGUGCGUGUGACAGCGGCUAU